rnacentral:misc_RNA from 1 species
UGCUUCGGGCAGCGACGGCGCGCCUCUCCCGCGAGUCAUCAGUGUCGGCUCGAGCGCCGCACGGCCUCGGCCGAGACCCGGUCGGUUUCUUGUGCUGCGUACCCGCGCGAAGGGCACCCUUCUCUCGUCCCAACUGUCCCUGCGUUCGUCCGCUGCUCCCCCUUCGGGGCGGGGCACGCGACGGAACUCGUAGCCCGGUCCGUUACCCGCGUCGCCUCCGGCUGUCGCGGUGAGCGGGCACCGCCCGAGCUCUCGGAUGCGGAAAGCACCGGGGGGCGCCGACCGCCGGCGCCCCGAGACCCCGACCCAGCAGACGACCGUCGCUCCCGUCGCGGCCCGGCCGCGCGGGAAGGGACGUCGCCGAGGAAUGCUACCUGGUUGAUCCUGCCGGU